CCAGACUCCUACGGGAGGCAGCAGUGAGGAAUAUUGGUCAAUGGGCGCGAGCCUGAACCAGCCAAGUCGCGUGAGGGAUGACGGCCCUACGGGUUGUAAACCUCUUUUGCCGGGGAGCAACGGGCGCCACGUGUGGCGCCACUGAGAGUACCCGGAGAAAAAGCAUCGGCUAACUCCGUGCCAGCAGCCGCGGUAAUACGUAGGGGGCAAGCGUUAUCCGGAUUUACUGGGUGUAAAGGGGGCGCAGACGGCCAUGGCAAGCCCGGUGUGAAAGGCAGGGGCAUAACCCCUGGACUGCACUGGGAACUGUCAGGCUGGAGUGCCGGAGGGGUAAGCGGAAUUCCUGGUGUAGCGGUGAAAUGCGUAGAUAUCACGCAGAACGCCGAUUGCGAAGGCAGCAUACCGGCGCCCAACUGACGCUGAGGCACGAAAGCGUGGGGAUCGAACAGGAUUAGAUACCCUUGUA
rnacentral:rRNA from 1 species